ACAACGGAGAGUUUGAUCCUGGCUCAGGACUAACGCUGGCGGCGUGCCUAACACAUGCAAGUCAAGGAGAACGUUCCCUUCGGGGAACUAUUAAACUGGCGGACGGGUGAGUAAUGCAUAGGUAACCUGCCCUGGAGACUGGGAUAACUUCGCGAAAGCGAUGCUAAUACCGGAUAAUGCAGCGGACCCUAAGGGGUACAGUUGUUAAAGCGGGCUUCGGCUCGUACUUCAAGAUGGGCCUAUGUCCGAUUAGCUUGUUGGUGAGGUAAAAGCUUACCAAGGCUAUGAUCGGUAGCUGGUCUGAGAGGAUGAUCAGCCACACUGGGAUUGAGAUACGGCCCAGACUCCUACGGGAGGCAGCAGUGGGGAAU
rnacentral:rRNA from 1 species